CGACGUGGCUCAGCUGGUAGAGCAACGCUCUCGUAAAGCGUAGGUCACCGGUUCGAAUCCGGUCGUCG
rnacentral:tRNA from 1 species